GAUGAGAACGUAGCGAAAUGCGAUAAGAAGUGUGAAUUGCAGAAUUCAGUGAAUCAUCGAAUCUUUGAACGCACAUUGCGCCCCAUGGUAUUCCGUGGGGCAUGCCUGUUCGAGCGUCAUUUACCCCCUCAAGCUCCGCUUGGUGUUGGGCGUCUGUCCCGCUUCGCGCGCGGACUCGCCCCAAAGGUAUUGGCAGCGGUCGUGCCAGCUUCUCGCGCAGCACAUUGCGCUUCUCGAGGCACCGGUGGGCCCGCGUCCAUCAAGCUCACCCCCCCAGUUUGACCUCGGAUCAGGUAGGGAUACCCGCUGAACUUAAGCAUAUCAAUAAGCGGAGGA
rnacentral:misc_RNA from 1 species